GACGAACGCUGGCGGCGUGCUUAACACAUGCAAGUCGAACGGAAAGGCCUUUUCGGAGGUACUCGAGUGGCGAACGGGUGCGUAACACGUGGGUGAUCUGCCCUGCACUCUGGGAUACGCCUGGGUAACUGGGUCUAAUACCGGAUAGGACCGCACUUUAGUGUGUGUGGUGGUACGUUUUUUCGGUGUAGGAUGAGCCCGCGGCCUAUCAGCUUGUUGGUGGGGUGAUGGCCUACCAAGGCGGCGACGGGUAGCCGGCCUGCGAGGUUGGUCGGCGACACUGUGACUGAGAUAAGGGCCAGAAGCCGACAGGAAGCAGCAGUGAGGAAUAUUACACAGUGGGCGCAAAGCUGAUGGCGCGACGCCGCGUGGGGGAGGACGGACUUCCGGUUGUGAACUCCGUUCGCCAGGGACGAAGCGUUUUGUGACGGUACCUGGAGAAGAAGCACCGGCUAACUACGUG
rnacentral:rRNA from 1 species